CAAGCCCAGAACCAGGGUUAUGACUUGACUCACCCCAACAUCAGUCCAAUCUACGAUCUUCUGGAGCAUGUGUAGGGGCCAGUUCUGCAGACUCAAAGAUGUAGGAUCUCCACAACACAAGGCAACAACAAGAUAUCCAAGAUGAGUCCCAGUCAGGGCCCAGCAUCAACAGUGUAGCAGAAACCAGAGGCCUCAAACCAUACCAAUGACUCUGCAAUGAACACUUGCAAGUGAAGAUAUAUGGGUAAAGGGUUUACUGCAUGACUCACUGUAUCACACUACAGCUACCAUGACGAGAUUGAGUUUUUCCUUCUUGUUUUUUUUCUUUUUUCUCUUAAAUUGCAAGGGCAGAGGGUAGAUAUGCAGGGACAGGGAAAUAAAAGGGACCAAGAUGCAUGAUGUGAAAGAUAGGAAGAAUAAAUGAAAAGAAAACAAAGAAAUCAAGAGGAAAAAACAGAAAAUAUGCCAGUCUAAUAUUCAUCAUGCUUGAAAAAUGAUAGUACCAGCAUGUCUUUCUAAAAGAAUGACAAGAGAAAAUAGAGUUGGAAAACCCCCCUGAUGAUCAAAUAGAAUGAAGUGAUUUACUAUGUAAUAAAGAAUUCAAAUGGAUGAACUACAUGGUCAGAAAUUGCAAAGCUAUGUGUUGGUCAGGUCAGGGCUAAAACCCUAGUUAAUGACUCCAAGCCCAGUCAUUUUAAUUACUACUAGAGCACAAGGAGUAAUUUAUACAAAUGGUACAGCACUCUUCCAGUGUCCUCUAUAGCCAUGAUAUGUAAGACACACAGGGACCCAUGGUCAUCAUCAACAAACAUCAGUCAUAAUUUUUGAAUACAGAGAUUUAGGUCAAAAGUGAAAAGAUUCUGGAAACUUGAACAUAUGUCAAGAGUUUCCUCUCUGCCGCAAAACUAGAAGAGAUAUCACUCUCUGUGGAAAGAAGCCUCCUAGCACAAUGGACCAUGGAGUGGCAUUUCAGAGAAACAAAGAGCUGUGGGUGGGAUGCAAGUCAGUGCACAUCAGGCUUUAUUAUGUCAAGAAUGGAGCACAUCUCUAUGCUUCUAUAGCAUCUCAAAAGGAUUGAUUUUACUUAAACAUUGCAAGGUUGAGCCUCCAGGAAUUCAGGUUAUACUUUCCUGGGAAUGGAAGAGAAAAGGAAACCCAAGAGUAUGCAGAUCAUGCCAGGAAUUCCAUUUUGGAAGGAGGAUACUGUCUUCAAAGCAGCCAAUGACUCCCACUUCCCUUUGCUUUGAUAUACAGCCCAUCACCAGCUUCAUUAAAACUAUCCCCCAUCUUUUAUAACCUGAAGAUCUGAUCCCAAAUAAUUCUGUGGAAAUACCACGUCUCUUGGGACAAGUGAUAAAAUGAUGUUUCAUCUGUAUGUCAACAUGAGCAAAAGUGUCCAUUGAAAGGGGCUGGACGGAAACACGGUAGAGUCAAACAUUAUAAAUGAACAUUCUUUCUCCACUGUCUUCGAAAGAGAAGAAAAGAAUUUGUGGCCAGAUAAGGAGCCCAAGCCUGAGAUACUAUAGCAUUUUACAGCUUAGGGUCACCAGGAGGGGGACAGAGGGAGGGCAGGAUGGAGGAGUUAAGCAAGUGCUAGGCCAAGAAUUGACAGGGGAAAUGUGUGGUGUUGGUCCUUGGAGGCUGUGGGGUGAGAACAGG
ensembl:lncRNA